GCCUGAGAGUCACUCACAGAUAUCCCUCCUUAUACCCAAGAUGGUUAGAGGGUCAAUAUCCGUUAAGAAGCAAGGGAAGCUGACUUCUUCGUGGAGAGGAUAAAGGACCAAGAUGGCGCGGGUUCGCCUGCCUCCACGCGCUCCUCGA